GGGGUUGUGGCUCAGCGGUAGAGCACUCACCAAGCACGUGUGAGGUGCUGGGUUCAAUCCUCAGCACCAUUA
rnacentral:tRNA from 1 species